GUGGGCCUCUCACCUCCACCAGGGGGUAGGGAAUCGGGGACGGAGGUGUUGUUUCAUACCACUCUCUCUCGAGAGGUUUCUUUAUGAAAACACAGAAGGGCUCAGGGAAACAGGUUUGAAUUAAACUUACACAUGGGUCCUUCACAGCCUGAGGACAGGCUCAGAGUGUCCUGUCUCACACCAUCUUCCAGUGUGACGAGCAGAUGCUGGGUAGGAAUGUCUCGUGGUUCCUGCUUUCCAUCCUCACGUUCUGCGUGUAGCAAAGAGAGCUGUCCGGUGUAAACCCCCUUCAUCCUCACACUAGAGCAGGCUGAAGCUCCCCGAAGCAUCCUGUCAGCUCUCUCAGUUUUCAACUGCAUCACAGAUGAACUGUUUAAUCAGGAGAGAGUAGAGGCAAGGGAAAGUACAUCUUCCUUCCUGACCGAGCGCUCGCUCUGUGGUUGGGCGCCCAGCACAGUAACUGCUCUGUCCAGGGGUCUCCACAGGAAAAGGAGAACUUUAGACACAAAAGGGGAGAACAACGUUUGCCAGGCGAGAAGGCAGAGCAUUUCAGGAGGAGCUGCCUGAGACUCCUUCACAGACAUGCUACAGGGAGCCAACACCAAGCAUUGGAACAAGUGCAGGAUACAACCUACUUUCCGUCCUCCACCAGACAGUUGGGUAAGGCCUUUCUACCCUGACAUUAUGUGAUUCUAAAUCACUUUCUGUAGGCUUGCUCAGACUUCCUAUUAAACUUGUCAUAAGGGAGAAACUGAUGAUUCCGUGAAGUCAAGAAACAGCCCAUGGUGGCUCUACACAAAUGCGAGUGUUGUGAAUACUAGCAUUUCUGUGAGUCCUCCCGACAAAGCUAUCACACAGUCAGGGCUUUCAAGCUGCUGAGGGAACUCCCUGCUGAGCUUGGUCCAAGAUGGUCCCUGGGGAUGGAUUAGGGCAGACAGGGAGAAGGAAUUUUGAAAGGUUUUUUUUCUGGAAUAUAAACUUCUAUUUCUAUGCCAGGAUUAAUUCCAUUCCAUACAAGAAUGGCUAGGGCAGUGUUGCUAGGAAAUUAGCAGCUGUUUGUCUGGAUGAUUUUGGACAGGAAUGUGUCACUUGUGCAAUGCAAACAGGGAAGGGCUUUGAAGUGUGAGAAACUGGUCUCUGUCCAGUGCUGUUUAAGGAAACACAGCGCAGGACAUUUUAGACAGAGCCAAGGUGGAGAAUCUUUCCCAAUGUGAUCUAAUUCCCUGGGGCAAUGAGCACUGCCCCAGAGUCUCCUUCCAUGUGCCCAUCUGGUCGGUACUCAUCCUCACAACUGCUGCCUAGCUUUCGAUCCUGAGCCUGUCUGCUGGGCGCCUGGGGCCAGAGUGACCACUGAGCUGGAAGAUGACGCCUCUUUAGAAAUGAGCCCUGGAAGGCUAACUCACCCCCAAAGAAUCCAGCCUUUGGAACUGUAAAGUGGAGCCCUCAAGAAUACCCCGACCCUCUGACGAUUCCACUAUAUAGAGUUUAAAGACAGGCAAAGCUAAUCUAUUUUAUUAGAGAUCAGAAUAGUACUGACCUUUAGGGAAGAGGGAAGGAGGAGUGAUUGAGAAGUAUCUUAAGGAAGCCUUCUGAGGUUCUGGUUAUAUUGUAUAUGUUGGGCACACUUACAUUUUCACCUUGCAAUAACUCACUGAAUUGUACACUCAUGACUUUUCUAUGUGUAUGCUACACUUCAAUAACUUUUAAGUAUCUAAAAAAAAAAAAAAGAGAGAGAGAGAAUACCCUGACCCAUCUCUAGCCUCACCUCACUCCUGCCACUCUGCAUUCUCCUCCCCUGGUUUAUUUUUGUCUAUAACAUUCACCUCUAGUUAACAUCCAUUUCGUUUUCAUGAUUCAUUAUUUAGAGUCUCUCUCUCCUUUCUAGCAUGGAAGCUCCAUGAGGGCAUGGAUUUUUGUCUGUUUUGUUCACAGCUAUCUCUUCAGUACGUAGAACAGUCUCUGGAACAUAAGAGGCACCCAGUAAAUAUUUGUUAAAUGACCAAAUGCACUCAUCUAUUCCAUAUUUUAUUCAACCAGAAAACUGGAUUUGUUUCAUCUAAGAAAAUUUUUAUAGAAUACCUUCUGAAUGCCUGGAAUUAUUCCCUGGUUUGGGGGUGGGGUCUGGGAAAAGUUUGAGGAGAAAAACAAAACAAUGCAAGUGCUCUCUUCAUUGUUUAUGUAUGUCUCAAAUCACCCUUUUGAGGUAAGUAGCCUUAUCUUGGUUUCUCAGAGGAAGAAAUGGAGGUUCAUAGAAAGUAAUUUUCCCAAACCACAUAGCCACUAAGUGGUAAAGGCUGGACCUUUUAAAAAAUAUACAAAUGCCGCCUACAGCAGCUGUCACUGGCCCUCCUUUCUUCUCUUAUUGUCUCUCCAGUUAGCUGCUUUCCAGAGUGGCAAAGAUGUUCUAACACUCAGGUUUUGACACAACUCCCUCAGAGAACAGAAUUUUGUGUAAACAACUGCAAACUUCUUUUUUUAAAAAUCUGCCUUGGUUUGAGAUUUCUACGACUAUAAGCUCUAAAAAGCAGAGUGAUGCAUCAUGACACUCACGGGAUGACAGAAUGUGCCUGGAGAGGGGACAUUUAAGUUUAGAACCGAAUUUCCCAAGCAACGACAAAGGUUCUGGAACCUCCCAGAAUAUUCUCGGUAGGAGUCCCACUGGAUUUGCCAUCUCAUUUUUAGGGAAUUCUUGGUUUGCACCAUAAGUGAAAAUCGAAUCCAUUUCCCGGCAAGUUUAGGCUUAGAGAUUCUUAGUGAUAUACUCCCCUUUCCAGGCCCCCAGGAAUUUAGCCUUCUAAUCCCCAGACUGCAGACUGGGAACACUUAGAAAUUCUUAUGAUUGAGAAACUGAGGACUCUACAUAAACCCCUCAGCAGUCAGGAAACAUCCUGUGGGUGGGUUAGAUCAUGAGAUCUCCCUGAAGGAAGUUUAACUCCUAGUUCCAAGAAAAUGCCUGUUUAUUUUUUCAUAUUACGGGGUCACUGGAUGUCCGGGGUGUCAACUGAAAAAUAAUGUUCGACCUAAAAGUUGACAAUUAUGUUCUAUCUGGGGCAUUACUGAGAACUAUAGCCCGGGAUGGCAGCCUCUCAGAUAGCCCUGAGGGACUGUUCCAAAGAGGUAAGGGAGGAGCCAGGAUAUAUAGGAGUUUUUGCUAGAAACAAAAACAAAAACAAACAAACAAACAAAAUCCCUGUGUAGUCGAACAUCAAAAGAUUACCGCUGGGCUUCCCUGGUGGCGCAGUGGUUGAGCGUCUGCCUGCCGAUGCAGGGGUCACGGGUUCGUACCGCGGUCCGGGAAGAUCCCAAAUGCCGCGGAGCGGCUGGGCCCGUGAGCCAUGGCCGCUGAGCCUGCGCGUCCGGAGCCUGUGCUCCGCAAUGGGAGAGGCCACAACAGUGAGAGGCCCGCGUACCGCAAAAAAAAAAAAAAAAAAAGAUUACUGCUAAUCACAAAAAACCCCAGACAUCUCAAGUUAAUGAUUUUAGUGCUUUUCUGUGUAUGAGAAGAUACAAAAGUCUGGGCUCAUUGAAAUGAUUCCUUCCAUAUGCAUCUUAACUAGGGCCAGUAUCCAGUUUUUCUCCAUCUGAAAUUCCCCUCAGAAUGCACUGUUGGGUCAGCUGCAGUGGCUGAUGCCUUUAUGGCCGCAACAUCCUUUGUUUACUGAAAUGGCAGGUGACAUUUGUCCACAGGGACAGUGGUGCCACUCAUCAUGUACAGGAGGGUAAGGCAGGCCAGUGGGUUUCACUGCAAGUAAAUAUCUUUCUAGAAAGUAUUUAAAUAAUAAAAUUUCUUCCAAUAGAGUUUCUCCUAUACCUUAUUUAUGUUAGUUUAUUUUCUUUAGCUACUCAGUUUGUGAAAUAUCAAUCAUUUUAAAACUUUUUUUGCUGUUAAUUUCCUUUGCUAUGCUCUCAGGCAAAACCCACAUCUGUUGCAGAAAGAGCCUAGAUUUUGCUCAUACUCUGAUAAAAUAUGCCCCUCUUUAGGCUUGAUAGGAAGGAGUCAACAGCACUGUUGUAAAUGCCAUCAUGUCCUGAUAGCCCCAGCCUGGGGACCCAAAACCUGGCAGGACCAGAAAGUGACAGAUGAAAAGGUGCUCAACAUCAUCAGGAAAAUACAAAUCAACACCACAACGAGAUACCACUUCACACACAGUAGGAUGGCUAAAAUAAAAGAGACAUUAUACAGAAAAGUGUUGGUGAAGAUGUGGAGAAAUUGAAACUCUCACACAUUGCUAGUGGGAGUGUAAAAUGGUGAAGUUGCUUCGGAAAACACUUCUUAAAAAAAUUUGACAUUGAGUUACCAUAUGGACCAGGCAACUCUACUCCUAGGUAUAUACUCGAGAGAAAUGAAAGCAUCAGUCUACACAAAUAUGUGUACACAAAUUUCAUUGCGGCAUGGUUCAUAAUAGCCAGAAAAGUGAAACAGCCUAAAUGCCUAUCGACUGAUGAACGGGUAAACUCAAUGUGAUAUACCCGUACAACAGACGGUUACUUAGCUAGGAAAGAAACCACAAAACUACCGAUACAUGCUACAAAAUGGAUGAACCUUGAAAGCAAGCUAAAGGAAAGAAGCCUAUAGGCCAUAUAUUGGGAGAUUCCAUCUACAUGAAAUGUCCAGAAGAUGCAAAUCCAUAGAAACAAAAAGGAGAUUAGUGGUUGCCAGGGGCUGGGAGGAGAAGAGACUGGGGAGUGACUGUAAUGGGUAUAUUUUUCUUUCUCGGUGGAUAGUGAUGAAAAUAUUCUGGAAUUAGGUAGUGGAGACGAUUGCACAACUUUGCCAAUAUACUGAACAACACUGAAUUGCACACUUUAAAAUUUGAAUUUUAUGGUAUGUGAAUUAUAUCUCAAUUAAAGAAUCUGGUGGUGGGAGAUAUAUCAAAAGAAAGUAAUAGGGAAAAAUCAAUAGUACUGUUAAAUUACUCUCUUUGUGUCCAUUGCAAGAGCUCAGUGGAUUCUUUUCUAAACACAGCACACUGAAGAGUAUGAAAUUAUGAAUCAGGGAAGAGUACAUUAUUCUUUACUCCUAUUUUUCUCUCUGUAGUACAUCACACCUUGCCCUGUUCCUGGAUGCCCAUGUUUGUCUUAUAGUCCAGGGUUUCUCAAAGUGUCACUUUGUUCCCGUUGCAUCAAAAAUCUCUUGUAGUGCUUGUGAAAAAUUCACAAAAAUUCAGUGGGGUUCACUGAAACAGAAACUCUAUGUGUAUGACUCUGGACUUGGCAUUUUUAACAAGUCGUCUAGCUAUAAAAACAAUACUAUUAUUAAUAAUAGCUUUUACCUAUAGAAUACUAUGUGCAGGCACUAUUCCAAGUACUUGACAUUAAUUAACUCAUUUAUUCCUCAGUACAAUCUAUGAUUGGGUACUCUUAUUACCCCCAUCUUACAGAUGAAUAAACUGAGGUACAAAGAGAUGAAGAAACUUUCCCAAAGGCACAUAACUAGUAAGUAAUAGAGUCUGGAGUCAAAUGCAGGCAGUCUGGCUUCAGAUUUCAAGCUCUUAAUCACUUCACAAUACUGUCUGCUAUGGUUAGAAUGUUUGUGUCCCCCCAAAUUCAUAUGUUGAAAUCCUAACCCCCAAAUGUGAUGGUAGGUGGGGCCUUUGGGAGGUGCUUAGGUCAUGAGGGUGGAGCCUCAUGACUGGGAUUAGUGCCUUUAUAAAAGAGGUUCCAGAGGGAUCCCUAGCCCCUUCUACCAUGUGAAGACAGAGAGAAGGUACCAGCUAUGAACCAGGAAGAGAGCACUCAAUAGAACAUGACCAUGCUGACACCUUGAUCUUGGACUUCCCUUCCCAGCCUCCAGAACCAUGAGAAAUAAAUUUAUGGUGUUUAGAAGCUA